AGAGUUUGAUCAUGGCUCAGAUCGUACGCUGGCGGCACGCCUAACACAUGCAAGUCGAACGAAGUAGCAAUACUUAGUGGCAGACGGGUGAGUAACAUGUGGGUAUCUGCCCUUUGGCCUGGAAUAACACGAGGAAACUUGUGCUAAUACCGGAUAAGUCUUUACGGAGAAAGCUUUAUGCACCAUUGGAUGAGCCCGCACUUGAUUAGUUUGUUGGUGGGGUAAUGGCCUACCAAGACUGUGAUCAAUAGCUGAUUUGAGAGGAUGAUCAGCCACAUUGGGACUGAGACACGGCCCAAACUCCUACGGGAGGCAGCAGUGGGGAAUCUUGCACAAUGGAGGAAACUCUGAUGCAGCGAUGCCGCGUGAGUGAAGAAGGCCCUUGGGUUGUAAAGCUCUUUCGUCGGGGAAGAAAAUGACUGUACCCGAAUAAGAAGGUCCGGCUAACUUCGUGCCAGCAGCCGCGGUAAUACGAAGGGACCUAGCGUAGUUCGGAAUUACUGGGCUUAAAGAGUUCGUAGGUGGUUGAAAAAGUUAGUGGUGAAAUCCCAGAGCUUAACUCUGGAACUGCCAUUAAAACUUUUCAGCUAGAGUAUGAUAGAGGAAAGCAGAAUUUCUAGUGUAGAGGUGAAAUUCGUAGAUAUUAGAAAGAAUACCAAUUGCGAAGGCAGCUUUCUGGAUCAUUACUGACACUGAGGAACGAAAGCAUGGGUAGCGAAGAGGAUUAGAUACCCUCGUAGUCCAUGCCGUAAACGAUGUGUGUUAGACGUUGGAAAUUUAUUUUCAGUGUCGCAGCGAAAGCGAUAAACACACCGCCUGGGGAGUACGACCGCAAGGUUAAAACUCAAAUGAAUUGACGGGGACCCGCACAAGUAGUGGAGCAUGUGGUUUAAUUCGAAGAUACGCGCAGAACCUUACCAACACUUGACAUGUUCGUCGCGACUCUAAGAGAUUAGAGUUUUCGGUUCGGCCGGACGAAACACAGGUGCUGCAUGGCUGUCGUCAGCUCGUGUCGUGAGAUGUUGGGUUAAGUCCCGCAACGAGCGCAACCCUCACUUUUAGUUGCCAUCAUUAAGUUGGGCACUCUGAAAGAACUGCCAGUGAUAAGCUGGAGGAAGGUGGGGAUGACGUCAAGUCCUCAUGGCCCUUACGUGUUGGGCUACACACGUGCUACAAUGGUAUCUACAACAGGAAGCAAGACUGCGAGGUCAAGCAAAUCCUUAAAAGAUACCUCAGUUCGGAUUGCACUCUGCGACUCGAGUGCAUGAAGCUGGAAUUACUAGUAAUCGUGGAUCAGCGUGCCACGGUGAAUGCGUUCCCGGGUCUUGUACACACCGCCCGUCACACCAUGGGAGUUGGUUCUACCUUA
rnacentral:rRNA from 1 species